rfam:Candidatus Wildermuthbacteria bacterium RIFCSPLOWO2_01_FTLL_48_16 rifcsplowo2_01_scaffold_2047, whole genome shotgun sequence.
CGGGGAGUAGUAUAGUGGUAGUACGAAAGGCUGGGGGUCUUUUAGUCCGGGUUCGAUUCCCGGCUCCCCGA